rnacentral:rRNA from 1 species
UGCUUUUUGAAUAUAAAUAAAAAGUAAUCUCCUGCCCAGUGAAUAUUUUCAACGGCCGCGGUAUCCUAACCGUGCAAAGGUAGCAUAAUCACUUGCCUAUUAAUUGUAGGCUAGAAUGAAUGGGGUAACGAAAUAAGACCUAUCUUAAUUAAAUAAAAUAAAAACUUAUAUCCAAGUGAAGAAGCUUAGAUAAAAUAAAAGGACAAGAAGACCCUAUAGAGCUUUAGUAAAAUAAUACUAUGUAUUAAUUUCACUUCGGUUGGGGCGACCCAGGAUAAUUCAUCCUGUAAAUAUAAGACACAUAUGUCUAUCAAUAUGAACCUAAAUAGAUCACAGAUCAAGCUACCUUAGGGAUAACAGGCUAAUCUCACCUUAGAGCUCAUAUCCAAGGUGAGGAUUGGCACCUCGAUGUUGGCUUAGAGAAUCAAAUUGGCGCAGCAGUCAAUAAGUGAGGGUUUGUUCAACCCAUAAUUCUC